rnacentral:rRNA from 1 species
UACGUAGGAUGCAAGCGUUGUCCGGAAUUAUUGGGCGUAAAGAGUUCGUAGGUGGUUACUUAAGUCUGGUGUUAAAGACUGAAGCUCAACUUCAGCAUGGCAUUGGAUACUGGGUGGCUAGAGUGUGGAAGAGGUAACUGGAAUUCCUGGUGUAGCGGUGAAAUGCGCAGAUAUCAGGAGGAACACCCGUGGCGAAAGCGAGUUACUGGUCCAUUACUGACACUGAGGAACGAAAGCUAGGGUAGCAAAAGGG